rnacentral:tRNA from 1 species
GCCAGCAUGGUAUAGUGGUUUAAGUGUUGGACUGUGACUCUGGAGACCAGGGUUUGACUCCCUAUUCAGUCA